GCAGUGGUGGUUCAUUGGUAGAUUUCUCACCUUUCAUGAGGGAGACCUGGGUUCAAUUCCUGGCCAAUGUA
rnacentral:tRNA from 1 species